UCAAACUUGGUCAUUUAGAGGAAGUAAAAGUCGUAACAAGGUUUCCGUAGGUGAACCUGCGGAAGGAUCAUUAGAGAUUUUAGUAAAUCUAACUAUCACCCUUGUGCAAUCCGCAAAGUCCGAUAUCCUUGGAGGGGUUCAUCGUCGUGUGAAACUUUCCAAGGAGAUUAUCACGAUCAAUGCAUUUUUUCUUUUCUUUACUUAUUAUGUCUAAAUCAAUAAAUAUAAUCGAAACAACUUUCAACAACGGAUCUCUUGGCUCUCGCAUCGAUGAAGAACGCAGC
rnacentral:misc_RNA from 1 species